CUGAGAGGAGGUGCAUGGCCGUCGUCAGUUCGUACUGUGAAGCAUCCUGUUAAGUCAGGCAACGAGCGAGACCCACGCCAACAGUUGCCAGCUCGUCCUCCGGGAUGAUGGGGACACUGUUGGGACCGCCUCUGCUAAAGAGGAGGAAGGAAUGGGCAACGGUAGGUCAGCAUGCCCCGAAUUAUCCGGGCUACACGCGGGCUACAAUGGUCGGGACAAUGGGUAUCGACACCGAAAGGUGAAGGCAAUCUCCUAAACCUGUCCUAAGUUCGGAUUGCGGGUUGCAACUCACCCGCAUGAAGCUGGAAUCCGUAGUAAUCGCGUCUCAAAAUGGCGCGGUGAAUAUGUCCCUGCUCCUUGCA
rnacentral:rRNA from 1 species